AUGGAGUCACAGGCCCAGGUCCUCCUGUUGCUGCUGCUCUGUGUGUCUGGUAUCUGUCAGGACAUUGUGGUAACCCAGUCUCCAUCCUCCCUGGCUGUGUCAGCAGGAGAGAAUGUCUAUAUAGCUGCAAAUCUUUUAUGGAGUGUAAAUCAGAAGAACCACUUGGCCUGGUACCAGCAGAAACCAGGGAUGUCUCCUAAACUGCUGAUCUACUAUGCAUCCACUAGGGAAUCUGGGGUCCCUGACUGCUUCAUGGGCAGUGGAUCUGGGAUGGAUUUCACUCUCACCAUCAGCAGUGUGCAGGAUGAAGACCUGGCACUUUAUUUCUAUCAGCAGCAUUAUAACUCUUCUCCCAUAGUGCUUUAG